GGGCGUCGCGUAGCUCUCACUCUGCAAACAGCGAAAAUGGCUUCCCAUGCAUUGUCACAAAUGUUGGACGAGCUUAUGGGGCGGGACAGAAAUCUUGCCCCAACCGAAAAGAAAAGUGAACUUCAUUGGCAAGAUUCCGAGGUCUGCAAAUUUUUCCUUGUGGACUUUUGCCCCCAUGAAUUGUUUGUGAACACAAGAGCUGAUUUAGGACCUUGUGAAAAAAUACAUGAUGAAAUCUUUAAGAAAGAGUACAAGACAUCAAGCAGAGUAAAAACCAUGGGCUAUGAGGAAGAAUUUGAACGCUACUUAGAGGGGUUGAUUGCUGAUGUGGAAAGGCGAAUUCGCAGAGGUCAUCAGCGCUUAGCCCUCAACAAUGCCCAAGGAAAUCUGAAUGGACAACUGAACAGAGACAAAGAAGAAAAAAUACAAAUGUUGACAGAAAGAAUAAAUGACCUUGUACAACAGGCUGAAGAACUGGGCUGUGAAGGGAAGGUAGAGGAGGCACAGGGUGUCAUGAAACUCUGUGACCAGCUCCGAGAGGAAAGAAAACAGAGCGAGACGAAUAAGCUGGCAACACAAUCCAAUGAGCCAGAGAAGACAAUGGAAGUAUGCUCAGUUUGUGGGGCAUUACUGGUGGUUGGCGAUGUUCAGCAAAGGAUCGAUGAACACUUGAUGGGCAAGCAACAUGCUGGAUAUGCCCGCAUUAGGGCAUACGUGGAGGGAAAGAAAAUGAAAAGAGUUACUGAAGAAGAGGAAAGAGAGGCUAAAUUUCAAAAAGAGAGGGAAGAACGUGAGAAAGAAAGGGAAAAGGAAAGAGAAGAACGACGGAAACGAGAGAAAGAAAGGGAAGAAAAGGAAAAAGAACGAGAAAAAGAGAGGGAAAGGGAAAGAGAAGAAAGAAGAAAAAAACGUUCUAGAAGCCACGAUCGAGACAGACACAGGCGAUCACGAAGUAGAAGUCGCCACAGCAGACGUAGAUCCAGGAGUCAUUCAAGGGAUCGUCACAGGUCCUCCCGUCACCGCCGCUCCAGGUCAAGGUCACACUCAAGGAGGUCAAGGAGUCGAGACAGACGUUCACGUGACAAGGAUCACCGACGCCGUUCCCGCAGCAAGGAGCGGUCUCGUGAUAAGGACCGCAGUUCCAGGGACCGGUCGAGGAGGAGUAGAGAUAGGAAGGACAGAGAUAAAGGAAAGACAAAAUCCCGCUCUAGGGACAGAGACAGCCCUGUGACACAGGAAAAAUCCAAAGGGGACACAUUCAAUAACAAAGAUGAGCAUGCACAAAAUAAUGUUUUGGAGGAAGUCAAAGAUUGAUUUAGAGGUGACACAAUAUUUGCUGUCAGUUUUCCACAAACAAGGCUUGCAGCUGACCAAGCUAUUUGCCGACAUCUUUACCGAGAGUAUAAUCAAUUCCAUCUUGUACUUGUUCCUAUACCCAACACAAGGUGAGUGGGAAAAAGUCAACAUUUUAAUAUUGACAUGUACUUUAAUAUACUAUAAUUUAAUAUUUUUUCAUCUAAUGUAUGAAUCGGGAUAAUUUUGAUAAUGAAGAACUGAAAUUUAAUCUUUGAGAUCAUGUUUAUUUUUUUCUGAUUAAAAAGGAAGACAUUUACUUUUGUACUCAAUAGUAUUUCUAAAACGAAAGUCAUUUACCUUGAUGAUGUCAAUCUCCAUGAGAAACAGGUAAGAUCUAUGAACUAUUUGAGUCACACUCUUUGAUGAUGAUGCAGUUAUAUGACAGGUAACAUAUUGUGUACUCGGCUCCUAAUCAUCCAAAAGGACUAGAGAAACUACAGGUAAACAAGUGCAUUUUGGCUGCGGGAAAAAGAAAAAUGGACAGAAAGAUUAAUUGACUUUAGUACAUUAAGACAUAGGAAUGGAUAUCAGUUCUGAUAAGAGACAUUUAAAAGAUACAUCACAAAAGUUUUUUGAACAAUAUGUGAACAAAUGUUAACACACAACAGUGACAUCAUAACAGGAAAUGGCAGAUACUGUAUUAAGUGCAGGUUAUUGUUACUAUUGAAAGUUAUUUACAAUACUAUUGACUACAUAACUACUCAAAGAAAAAAAUAUGGAAGGGGAAAUAUCAACUUUAAUAAUGAUCACAAUUGAGGUUAGUGCUUGGAUUAAAAUUCUGUGUAAAAGAUGCCCAAAAUGUCAUUUUAGACAUAGGUUAGUGCUUUGUGUACCAAGAUGAUGAUGCUGUUGUUGAUAAGGAGGUUAGUGAUUGAAUACAUAUACCAUGUACCAGGAUGACAAUCUGCUGUUGUUGAGGGGGAGGUUAGUGCUUCAAUACAUGUUCCAUGUACCAGGAUGACAAUCUGCUGUUGUUAAUAUGGAGGUUAGUGCUUCAAUACAUGUUCCAUGUACCAGGAUGACAAUCUGCUGUUGUUAAUAUGGAGGUUAGUGCUUCAAUACAUGUUCCAUGUACCAGGAUGACAAUCGCUGUUGUUAAUAUGGAGGUUAGUGCUUCAAUACAUGUUCCAUGUACCAAGAUGACAAUCUGCUGUUAUUAAUAUGGAGGUUAGUGCUUCAAUACAUGUUCCAUGUACCAGGAUGACAAUCUGCUGUUGUUAAUAUGGAGGUUAGUGCUUCAAUACAUGUUCCAUGUACCAGGAUGACAAUCUGCUGUUGUUAAUAUGGAGGUUAGUGCUUCAAUACAUGUUCCAUGUACCAGGAUGACAAUCGCUGUUGUUAAUAUGGAGGUUAGUGCUUCAAUACAUCUUCCAUGUACCAGGAUGACAACCUGCUGUUGUUGAUAUGGAGGUUAGUGUUUCAAUACAUGUUCCAUGUACCACAACGACAAUCUGCUGUUGUUGAGGGGGAGGUUAGUGCUUCAAUACAUGUUCCAUGUACCACAACGACAAUCUGCUGUUGUUGAGGGGGAGGUUAGUGCUUCAAUACAUGUUCCAUGUACCAGGAUGACAAUCUGCUGUUGUUAAUAUGGAGGUUAGUGCUUCAAUACAUGUUCCAUGUACCAGGAUGACAAUCUGCUGUUGUUAAUAUGGAGGUUAGUGCUUCAAUACAUGUUCCAUGUACCAGGAUGACAAUCUGCUGUUGUUAAUAUGGAGGUUAGUGCUUCAAUACAUGUUCCAUGUACCAGGAUGACAAUCUGCUGUUGUUAAUAUGGAGGUUAGUGCUUCAAUACAUGUUCCAUGUAACAGGAUGACAAUCUGCUGUUGUUAAUAUGGAGGUUAGUGUUUCAAUACAUGUUCCAUGUACCACAACGACAAUCUGCUGUUGUUGAUAUAGAGGUUAGCUCUCUGUACCAAGAUGACAAUCGGCUGUUGUUGAUAUGGAGGUUAGUUCUCUGUACCAGAAUGACAAUCUGCUGUUUAUUGAUAUGGAGGUUAGCUCUCUACCAUUAUGGCAAUCUGCUGUUAUUGAAAUGGAGGUUAGUUCUCUGUAGUCUGUACCAUUAUGACAAUCUGCUGUUAUUGAUAUGGAGGUUAGCUCUCUGUACCAGGAUAACAGUUGACUCUUGUUGAAAUGGAGAUUAGUUCUCUGUAGUCUGUACCAGUAUGACAAUCUGCUGUUAUUGAAAUGGAGGUUAGCUCUCUACCAGUAUGACAAUCUGCUGUUAUUGAAAUGGAGGUUAGCUCUCUACCAGUAUGACAAUCUGCUGUUAUUGAUAUGGAGUUUAUAUCUCUUUACCAGGAUGACACUAUGUUGCUAUUGAUGUGGGGGUUAGGUUUCUGUACCAGGAUAACAGUUGACUGUUGUUGAUAUGGAGGUUAGUUGUCUGUACCAGGAUGACAAUUGACUUGCUGAAAGGUUAGUGCUUCAUUGCAUAUACAAUGUACCAGGAUGAAACUGACUGUUAUUUAAGGUGUAAGUUAGUGCUUCAAUACAUUUUCUCCGUACCGGGGUGACAAUCUGGUGGGAAAUGCUUCUGUUAAUUAAUAUUCUCUUGGGUGUUGGUAUGAUAUUGUGUUCAUGUUGACAAGGUAAUUUAUACAACCAUUGAUUAAACUACUGGAUGAAGAAAUAUUUUUUGUUUUGAGGUUAGUAUGACCUUAUUAACACUAGUUUCUUCUAGACUGCUUAGUUAUGGGAUUGCAAUGCACCAAAAUAAAGAUCAGCUCUAGUAGUAAUUGAAGUUAGUACUACAGUUGGAGUUUCUGUUGUACAACGGAAAUUGGAAUAACUACGACAUACAAAAUGUUUGUUGUGGGCGCAGCUGUUGCCAGCUCUUUGUGAUUGUUUUUUGGCCUGUACAUGUACAAAGGUCAGUAGUAUGAUUGAUCUGUACAAACUUUAAUGGUUAACACUUGAUACUGUGGUGUCAUGUUUUGUUUUUAUUAAUAUGGAUCAACAUCUUUCCAUAUAUGGGAGAUUGUUUUAUUGUUCAUUCCUGACACUGCAAAAUGGAAUAUUGAGGUUAGUGAAAGCUCGAGUAAGUCUGCCAAUGGUUUGAGCGGAUCCGGUGUUAUUCAAGGUUAGUGAAAACAAACAUUUGACAUGAUCCAAGCAACUUGUGCGAUGGGCAGGAGGCAACACAUUUCCCCGAUUCCACAGCAAUGUCAAGUAAGAGUAGUGGUGAGAAAGCUAGGUCUUGGCUGGACAAGGCCUUGGCCAUAGCUUGCACCGUGCAUGUACAUUUGACGUCUUACAAAACUACUCUUAAAAGACAUUUGCACAAUACUUCUGAUUUCAGUGGCCUUCAAUUACAAUAGCAAAACUACUGUGGAGAAGGAAAAGCAUUAUAAAGAAACAGGAUGUUGAAUGAAAACUACUCCCCUCAUGCUCAUCUGUGUAUUGUAUCAGAUGUACAGCCAUCGGCCAUAACCAUGAGAGGAUAGUUUAGCCAAGGAUUCCAAGUCAAACAUGGCAUAGAAAAGACCGCUAUUGCUGCUAUGCUCUCUCCAUAGGGAGAGGAUUUUCCUUGAUUAAUAUAUAUGUAUUAAUUGUUCCUAUUUUGAGGUAUGUUGAUAUAUGAAGAUAAUCAUUUGUGGACUUACUAUAUGAAAACACAAUUUUGUUGGAAGAUUUGUUAAUGAUAGAUAACCUGUGUACAUAUAUUAUUGUUUCUGAAGAAUACAAUUUUGUCAAUCUCUGUUCACAGAAAAUCCGAAGUGUAAUUUACAUGUCCAAAAUAUUCUGAAUACAUGUGUUAGUUCUCCAUUGUAUGCAGUAUCAAUUGAACCUGUUCAUGUUAAUGGAUAAACAGUAAGAUGAAUAAUAAAUUCCUUGAAUUCA